rnacentral:rRNA from 1 species
GAUGAACGCUAGCUACAGGCUUAACACAUGCAAGUCGAGGGGAAACGAUAUUGGAAGCUUGCUUCCGAUAGGCGUCGACCGGCGCACGGGUGAGUAACGCGUAUCCAACCUGCCCAUCACUUGGGAAUAACCUUGCGAAAGUAAGACUAAUGCCCAAUGACAUUUAUAGAAGGCAUCUGAAAUGAAUUAAAGAUUUAUCGGUGAUGGAUGGGGAUGCGUCUGAUUAGCUUGGUUGGCGGGGUAACGGCCCACCAAGGCGACGAUCAGUAGGGGUUCUGAGAGGAAGGUCCCCCACAUUGGAACUGAGACACGGUCCAAACUCCUACGGGAGGCAGCAGUGAGGAAUAUUGGUCAAUGGGCGAGAGCCUGAACCAGCCAAGUAGCGUGCAGGAAGACGGCCCUAUGGGUUGUAAACUGCUUUAUAGGGGAAUAAAGUGAGCCACGUGUGGUUUUUUGCAUGUACCCUAUGAAUAAGGACGGCUAAUUCCGUG